GCCAGUUUUUUCAGUGUUAGUUCCUAUUUUUGAAGCGUCAAACAAACAGUAUAUAAGCACUGAUUUUACUGCUGUUUAGCACCUUCUCACUGGACGGCUGAAGCUAUCGAGAUAUUAAAGAUCACCAUGAGGCUGCUGACCGUGUUUGUGUUUCUUUGUGUAAUGGUCCCUCUGAUCAUUACUGCUCAAAAAUUGGGCAGCAGUGGAGCAGAGGAUAAGCCACCAGAAGAGCAUCUUGUUGAGAAGAAAUGGCGGGGGAUUUGGCGCAGAGCUUUGACUCGCUAUGGAUACAGGAAAGAGAUGGACGAAUGAUAUGUACGGUCACCACUGAUACCGAUUUUGUCUGGGUCUGAAAAAGAAGAUGAUCCCUGGUCUUCCAUGAAAAGCCAUGGCCACCAGACAAAGAAGCAAAUCAUUUCAUCCAACUCCCUAAACUAUCAGUUUCCCUCUUAGAUCUUUACUUAUUUCCUUUCGCUGUACUGCUACAUAAUGAAUUUGGCAACAAGUGACACAAACUGGAGUGGACUGGACCGUGUCUUCUAAUAGCAAUAGCUGUUCAUUUCUGUUCUUAUUAUCUUCAUCAUUAAACUCUUAAGCAUUAAAUCAAA